rnacentral:rRNA from 1 species
CCUACAGCUUGUUGGUGAGGUAAUGGCUCACCAAGGCGACGACGGGUAGCCGGCCUGAGAGGGUGACCGGCCACACUGGGACUGAGACACGGCCCAGACUCCUACGGGAGGCAGCAGUGGGGAAUAUUGCACAAUGGGCGAAAGCCUGAUGCAGCGACGCCGCGUGAGGGAUGACGGCCUUCGGGUUGUAAACCUCUUUCAGUAGGGAAGAAGCGAAAGUGACGGUACCUGCAGAAGAAGCGCCGGCUAACUACGUGCCAGCAGCCGCGGUAAUACGUAGGGCGCAAGCGUUAUCCGGAUUUAUUGGGCGUAAAGAGCUCGUAGGCGGUUUGUCGCGUCUGCCGUGAAAGUCCGAGGCUCAACCUCGGAUCUGCGGUGGGUACGGGCAGACUAGAGUGAUGUAGGGGAGACUGGAAUUCCUGGUGUAGCGGUGAAAUGCGCAGAUAUCAGGAGGAACACCGAUGGCGAAGGCAGGUCUCUGGGCAUUUACUGACGCUGAGGAGCGAAAGCAUGGGGAGCGAACAGGAUUAGAUACCCUGGUAGUCCAUGCCGUAAACGUUGGGCACUAGGUGUGGGGGACAUUCCAC